GCCGAUUUAGCUCAGUUGGUAGAGCACAUCAUUCGUAAUGAUGGGGUCGCAAGUUCGAAUCUUGCAAUCGGCACCA
rnacentral:tRNA from 1 species